rnacentral:rRNA from 1 species
AGGGUUUGAUCAUGGCUCAGGAUGAACGCUGGCGGCGUGCUUAACACAUGCAAGUCGAACGAUGAAGCCCAGCCUGCUGGGCGGAUUAGUGGCGAACGGGUGAGUAACACGUGAGUAACCUGCCCUUGACUCUGGGAUAAGCCCGGGAAACUGGGUCUAAUACCGGAUAGGAGCGCCUGUCGCAUGACGGGUGCUGGAAAGAUUUUUCGGUCAUGGAUGGACUCGCGGCCUAUCAGCUUGUUGGUGAGGUAAUGGCUCACCAAGGCGACGACGGGUAGCCGGCCUGAGAGGGUGACCGGCCACACUGGGACUGAGACACGGCCCAGACUCCUACGGGAGGCAGCAGUGGGGAAUAUUGCACAAUGGGCGGAAGCCUGAUGCAGCGACGCCGCGUGAGGGAUGACGGCCUUCGGGUUGUAAACCUCUUUCAGUAGGGAAGAAGCGAAAGUGACGGUACCUGCAGAAGAAGCACCGGCUAACUACGUGCCAGCCGCCGCGGUAAUAC